rfam:Bacillus ginsengihumi strain M2.11 NODE_59, whole genome shotgun sequence.
CCGCGCUAGGUGGGGAGGUAGCGGUGCCCUGUACUCGCAAUCCGCUCUAGCGAGACUGAACUCCUUUCUGAGGCUAACUGUUUGUAGGGCCUGCCUUAAGUAAGUGGUGUUGACGCCUGGGUCCUGCGCAAUGGAAAUCCAUGAACCAUGUCAGGUCCGGAAGGAAGCAGCAUUAAGUGGAUCUUUCCAUGUGCCGCAGGGCAGCCUGGGUCGAGCUAACUGCUUAAGUAACGCCUAUGAAGGUUAGUCGAAGAAAGGUGCGCGG